AUCUAGGCAUGCGUGAAGGAGGCGGAAGUGUAUUAACCCGAGUGGAGCUGAAUGGAGCCGAACUCAGGCUGAUCCGCAUGGAGCUGAACGGCGUUGAGUCGAGCCGGGCGGAGCCGGAGCGGAAGGAGUGAAGAAGAAGCCGAGCCGAGUCACGACGGGCGGAGGGGGACGGAGUCGCUGUCCUUUCGAGGGGAAAAGAAAACCUCAUACCUUCACCGAGCGAGGUUCGCUCUUUUUCUCUAAUAUGGAAGGAUUUUCAGCAGAUCGAUUGAUCAGCAGCAGCAGAUCUGAGACACGUUGUAGAACAACUCGUCAGAGCCUUCAGGAGGAUCUGCUCCAUGGCCUUGCCUGACACAGAGAUUUACACUUUGCUUUCCACUUCACUGACCAAGCCAGCAAGAUGUGCAGCAGCAGCAGGAUUGGCACAAGGACCUCAGCUGCUGCAGUGAAUCUGUCAGCACAGAUGCUGGUGCUGGUGCUGAAUAAAACAUGACAGACAAUCCCAA